UGCCUUAGUGUGGGGGAUAACCAUUGGAAACGAUGGCUAAUACCGCAUAACGUCUACGGACCAAAGAGGGGGAUCUUCGGACCUCUCGCGCUAAGAUUGGCCCAGGUGGGAUUAGCUAGUAGGUGGGGUAAAGGCUCACCUAGGCGACGAUCCCUAGCUGGUCUGAGAGGAUGAUCAGCCACACUGGAACUGAGACACGGUCCAGACUCCUACGGGAGGCAGCAGUGGGGAAUAUUGCACAAUGGGGGAAACCCUGAUGCAGCCAUGCCGCGUGUGUGAAGAAGGCCUUCGGGUUGUAAAGCACUUUCAGUUGUGAGGAAGGUUCAUGCGUUAAUAGCGUAUGGAUUUGACGUUAGCAACAGAAGAAGCACCGGCUAACUCCGUGCCAGCAGCCGCGGUAAUACGGAGGGUGCGAGCGUUAAUCGGAAUUACUGGGCGUAAAGCGCAUGCAGGUGGCUUGUUAAGCCAGAUGUGAAAGCCCGGGGCUUAACCUCGGAAUAGCAUUUGGAACUGGCAGGCUAGAGUACUGUAGAG
rnacentral:rRNA from 1 species